UACGUAGGGGCAAGCGUUAUCCGGAUUUACUGGGUGUAAAGGGAGCGUAGGUGGCAAAGUAAGUCAGAUGUGAAAGCCCGUGGCUUAACUGCGGGAUUGCAUCAGAAACUGCUUUGCUAGAGUGCAGGAGAGGUAAGUGGAAUUCCUAGUGUAGCGGUGAAAUGCGUAGAUAUUAGGAGGAACAUCAGUGGCGAAGGCGGCUUGCUGGGCAGCAACUGACGCUGAGGCGCGAAAGCCAGGGGAGCAAACGGGAUUAGA
rnacentral:rRNA from 1 species